rnacentral:rRNA from 1 species
UACGUAGGGCGCAAGCGUUGUCCGGAAUUAUUGGGCGUAAAGAGCUCGUAGGCGGUUUGUCGCGUCUGCUGUGAAAACUCAGGGCUUAACCCUGAGCUUGCAGUGGGUACGGGCAGACUUGAGUGCGGUAGGGGAGACUGGAAUUCCUGGUGUAGCGGUGAAAUGCGCAGAUAUCGGGAGGAACACCAAUGGCGAAGGCAGCUCGCUGGGACGUUACUGACGCUGAGACGCGAAAGCGUGGGGAGCAAACAGG